rnacentral:rRNA from 1 species
GAUGAACGCUGGCGGCGUGCCUAAUACAUGCAAGUCGAGCGAACGGACGAGAAGCUUGCUUCUCUGAUGUUAGCGGCGGACGGGUGAGUAACACGUGGAUAACCUACCUAUAAGACUGGGAUAACUUCGGGAAACCGUAGCUAAUACCGGAUAAUAUUUUGAACCGCAUGGUUCAAAAGUGAAAGACGGUCUUGCUGUCACUUAUAGAUGGAUCCGCGCUGCAUUAGCUAGUUGGUAAGGUAACGGCUUACCAAGGCAACGAUGCAUAGCCGACCUGAGAGGGUGAUCGGCCACACUGGAACUGAGACACGGUCCAGACUCCUACGGGAGGCAGCAGUAGGGAAUCUUCCGCAAUGGGCGAAAGCCUGACGGAGCAACGCCGCGUGAGUGAUGAAGGUCUGCGGAUCGUAAAACUCUGUUAUUAGGGAAGAACAUAUGUGUAAGUAACUGUGCACAUCUUGACGGUACCUAAUCAGAAAGCCACGGCUAACUACGG